rnacentral:rRNA from 1 species
GAUGAACGCUGGCGGCGUGCCUAACACAUGCAAGUCGAGCGAACAGAUAAGGAGCUUGUUCCUUUGAAGUUAGCGGCGGACGGGUGAGUAACACGUGGGUAACCUACCUAUAAGACUGGGAUAACUUCGGGAAACCGGAGCUAAUACCGGAUAACAUUUAGAACCGCAUGGUUCUAAAGUGAAUGAUGGUUUUGCUAUCACUUAUAGAUGGACCCGCGCCGUAUUAGCUAGUUGGUAAGGUAACGGCUUACCAAGGCGACGAUACGUAGCCGACCUGAGAGGGUGAUCGGCCACACUGGAACUGAGACACGGUCCAGACUCCUACGGGAGGCAGCAGUAGGGAAUCUUCCGCAAAGGGCGAAAGCCUGACGGAGCAACGCCGCGUGAGUGAUGAAGGGUUUCGGCUCGUAAAACUCUGUUAUUAGGGAAGAACAAAUGUGUAAGUAACAGUGCACAUCUUGACGGUACCUAAUCAGAAAGCCACGGCUAACUACGUG